GUGCUGCUCAUGUGCUUUUUUGGUGCGGACCUGGUACCUCUUUCAUGAAGCAGCAGCUGAGGAGACUCCGGCGCUCGCCAUGGCCGACGAAAAGCCCAAGGAAGGAGUCAAGACUGAGAACAACGAUCAUAUUAAUUUGAAGGUGGCGGGGCAGGAUGGUUCUGUGGUGCAGUUUAAGAUUAAGAGGCAUACACCACUUAAUAAACUAAUGAAAGCCUAUUGUGAACGACAGGGAUUGUCAAUGAAGCAGAUCAGAUUCCGAUUCGACGGGCAACCAAUCAAUGAAACAGACACACCUGCACAGUUGGAAAUGGAGGAUGGAGAUACAAUUGAUGUGUUCCAACAGCAGACGGGAGGUGUCUACUGAAAAGGGAACCUGCUUCUUUACUCCAGAACUCUGUUCUUUAAAGACCAAGAUUACAUUCGCAAUUAGAAAACUGCAAUUUGGUUCCACCACAUCCUGACUACUAUCAUAUAGUUUUCUCCCUUCUUUCAUUUCCCCCUUCCCCAU